rnacentral:rRNA from 1 species
UGGGGAAUCUUGCGCAAUGGCCGAAAGGCUGACGCAGCGACGCCGCGUGUGGGAUGACGGUCUUCGGAUUGUAAACCACUGUCGGGAGGGACGAAGUUCUGACGGUACCUCCAAAGGAAGCACCGGCUAACUCUGUGCCAGCAGCCGCGGUAAUACAGAGGGUGCGAGCGUUGUCCGGAAUCACUGGGCGUAAAGGGCGCGUAGGCGGCCUGGUAAGUCGGGGGUGAAACGCUGCGGCUCAACCGCAGCACUGCCUUCGAGACUGUCAGGCUGGAGCACGGUAGAGGCUGGUGGAAUUCCCGGUGUAGCGGUGGAAUGCGUAGAGAUCGGGAAGAACAUCGGUGGCGAAGGCGGCCAGCUGGGCCGUUGCUGACGCUGAGGCGCGACAGCGUGGGGAGCAAACA